CACGUAGGGCGCAAGCGUUGUCCGGAAUUAUUGGGCGUAAAGAGCUCGUAGGUGGUUUGUUACGUCUGCUGUGAAAUCCUAGGGCUUAACCCUGGGCUUGCAGUGGAUACGGGCAGACUAGAGGUAGGUAGGGGAGUGUGGAAUUCCUGGUGGAGCGGUGAAAUGCGCAGAUAUCAGGAGGAACACCCGUAGCGAAGGCGGCACUCUGGGCCGAUACUGACACUGAGGAGCGAAAGCGUGGGGAGCGAACAGG
rnacentral:rRNA from 1 species